GCCCCGUUAGCUCAGCUGGUCAGAGCAGGGAACUCAUAAUUCCUCGGUCCCGGGUUCAAGUCCUGGACGGGGCACCA
rnacentral:tRNA from 1 species